CGAUAGUACACAUGGUAUUCAGAUAUGGCGAAAAAAUGAGAAUAGGGUCCUCAGAGUUUGAGAAAUACCACACUAGACUGUGAGUUCUUUAUAGUCAUAUAUAGCUUGUCAUAUAGGCCAUACAAUCAUAUGUAGCCCUCUCCUUGCUUCUUAGCCUCCGUGAACUGCCUUUAGGGGCAGCCAAUGCUGAACAAAUGAAUAAGCAAAUCAACCAAUGACAACUUGGUCACUUGGAACCUGAGCCUCUCUUUUGAAAAUUCCAUUUGUAGGACUUUUUCUGAUUAAUCAACUUACUCGGGAUUCAUUUUUACACAUUUUAGAAGAAAAAAUUGCUAAAGAAAGCAAUUCCUUUAAACCAUACAGAGCUUGUUUGUUUUUAAGAUUUUAUUUAUUUAUUCAUGAGAGACGCACAGAGAGAGGCAGAGACAUAGGCAGAGAGAGAAGCAGGCUCCCUGCGAGGAGCCUGAUGAGGGUCUCAUUCCCAGGACCUCGGGAUCAUGACCUGAACCGAACAAAGGCAGACACUUAACCACUGAGCCACUCAGGUGCCCCACAGAGCUUGUUUUGGAAUUAACUGCCUGUGUCUCUUUUUCAGGGCCUCUCCCUCAUCACCAAGUUCAGACACUCAUAGCAGGAUGCAAAGUGUCCCCUCAUCCUGUGUGGCUCCUAGUUAGUCUGGAGGCUGGGUCCUGCCAAUGGUCUGAGACAACACUUUGUGACAUGUAUUUCCCCAAGGGGUUACCUUGUAGGGAUAUCAUGACUAGAAGACACUAGUUGAUACUCUGGGCAGGUCCUGGAUGAACAAGUGCCAGAAAUUUUUCAUCAAUAAGUUGCCAGCCCUCAGCUCCACCUUUCCAUCAGAUUUCAUCUUAUUAAACAACAGAGCCACAGAAUUUUAAAAAGGAUGAAGCCUGCAAUGUUUCCCACAACAAACCUUUUGGAAGCAAGUUCCACUAAAACCGAGGAAAAGGAGAAACACAGAUUUGAUGAUUAUAGGCCGAAACCACCACCUUCGGCUUCACCAGUGUUUGUCAGGUACAAAACUUAUAUAUGCUCAUUGGAGAAGAGGAAGAAGAAGGAGGAGGAGGAAGAGGAAGAAGAAGAAGAUGAGGAUGAUGAAAGAGAGGAAGGAAGGAAGGAAGGAAGGAAGGAAGGAAGGAAGGAAGGAAAAGGAAGGAAGAAAAAGAAAGGAAGGAUGAAAGAGAAGGAAAGAAGGAAAAGAAAUUCUAGCUUUGAGAAUCUUGGAUGGCUCAUCCAGAUACUGCCAAUCCCUGGGCUGGUCAGUGGCCUUUGACCUGUGUAGCCUGGCUCAGAAAAAUGAAUGAGAUCAGUCACAUUCUCCCUCUCAGGAAUGUGGCCUCUAAAACUCAGAAGGAAGUAGUACUUGUGAAGAAACUGAUCCCAUUUGGACUGUAUGGUGCUGUCCAGACCCUCGUCUAGGAUGGCAGCACCUAUGGUCCCCAGCUGCAGCCUUCGUGUUGCACAUGAGGACAACUCUGAGACCAACACAAUUCCAAAGCUCCUCGCAGGGCUGGCUGAAGCCUUUGUUGAGGCUGCUCUGCUGCUCAAUUUCUCCCCCUACCCACUCCUCCUUCUCCCUUCGCCCCCACACCCCCAUGGACAUUAGCCAUGUCCAUGAUAAGCUUUCUGCUCACUAAUCUUCACCUCAGAGUCUGUUUCUAGGGGGACCAACCUGCCACAGGGUAGGAAGAAAGGAUGAUGCGUGGAAUCAGGUGUGUCUGGCACAGGCCCUUUCCUCCUGGCCUGAGUCCUGUUAUCUUUACAUCCCACGUUCCCUGGCUUCUGUCCUCCUGGAGAUUUGCUUACCUGAUACUCCAAAGGACAAAGGAUAAGUUUCGCAGAGAUGUAAGGCCAGAUUUAGUAAUAUCUAGCUGAGCCUUAGUUUCUUCAUCUGUAAAAGGAGCCUUUGCCAGGGCCGCUCCACCCAUUGUGUCUUUCCCUCCACACUUCAUCCAGAGCAUUCGCCAGUGCCAUGGGGGUGAUACAGCAGGAGAUGGGUUCCUAUUGGGUUGCAUUUCACUGAGGAUAAUAGGAUAAACAGCUGCUUUCACAAUUAGCCUUUUCAUGAAAAUGACGUGAGAUCAUUGUUGCUGUUUGAAGCACUUCAACAGGGUGGGGUUUCUGAAGCCCCAUUUUAAUUAAAUAGUGCCCUCCCCACCCUGGCCCAACAUAAAACCUCCAGAGUUUCGACCAUCAAACAGAGUCCAGAUCUGUAAGCCUAAUCUAGGAUCCUGUGAUUUGUCAGAACCUUGUCCUCUGUUACAUGGCAUCAGGCACUCAUACCCAUGACUCCCUAGACAUUCCUGCCUCUGCACCUUUGCCUAUACUGACCCUGGCUGCUGAGGCCGGGCUCACAUAACCGGUCUUCUACAAAGUCAUUUGAGAACACCCAAGUCAAAAGCAUUUUGUUUGUAUGCUGAUGAUAACAUUUGCUAUUAGCUGCCUUGUGUUAAGGGUCAACUAGGUUAACUAGCUACAAUGCUUCUUUAGUUUAAAAAAAAAAAAAAGGCACCUGGGAGGCUCAGUGGUUGAGCAUCUGCCUUCAGCUCAGGUCAUGAUCCUAGGGUCCUGUGAUCGAGUUCCGCAUCAGGCUCCCUGCGAGGAGCCUGAUUCUCCCUCUGCCUAUGUCUCUGCCUCUCUCUCUCUGUGUCUCUCAUGAAUAAAUAAAUAAAGGCUUAAGAAAAAAAAGAGCUGCAUGUCCUCAUGACUUAGUAUCUU
rnacentral:lncRNA from 1 species